GCCCAAAGAAAGCUCUGAUUUGGGAGGAUUUUGGAACAGGCAAAACAAACUACCGUAUUUUUCGCUCUAUAGGACGCACCGGACCAUAGGAGGGGGAGAACAGGGGAAAUUUUUUUUUCUUGUUCUCCCCCUCUAAAACAAGGUACGUUCAAGAGCAGGUCGGGGAACAGCGCAAAGGCUGCGUGCAGCCUUGCCGUUGCCCCCCAAGCUUGUGGGGCUGGCGGUGGGGGGAAGCGUUGCUUUUCCCCACCGCCAGCCUCAAAGAUCCCUGAAGCCUUUGGAGCGCAGCAGGACCUCGCGCUGCGCUCCAAAGGCUUCGGGUUCCUUUCACUGACCCAAAGCCUUUGGAGUGCAGCGCGAGUUCCCGCUGCACUCCAAAGGCUUGAGGCUUCGGGGACAGCCUUUGUAGCCUCCGUAGGGCAGCGGGGUGAAGGCACCCCUCUGCCCUGCGGAGGGUUUGCGCAGCCAUCCCCAAGCUAGAACAGUGAGACGGAGAGCUGCGCAGCGCUCCGUCUCCCUGUUCUGGCUUUGGGCUUAGCCGCGCAGCCUGCAUUCGCUCUAUAGGAGGCACACACAUUUCCCCUUAAUUUUUGGAGGGGAAAAAGUGCGUCCUAUAGAGUGAAAAAUAUGGUAAACUGUUUCCUUCAACAGUAUCCUUCUAGUCACCUGUCCAGAAAUGGUAUAAUGCAAUCGCAGUUUGAUCCUCUGCCCUCAACAGUUGCCCUUAGAGGGAGAUAAGAGGCAGAAGGCAGAUCUUCCAUUACAUUGCAGGAUUUCGUUUCACAUAUUUCGAAGCCGAGAUUGUAAAUGGAUUCCAGAACUGGGCCUUUGUGAUCUGUAACAGAAAUUGAGCCCUGAGUAUAGCUCAGCUGUCCUAAUUAAAGCAAGGCACGUCCAACAUACUACUUUUUCAUAGCUGUGAACGUGUUGCAUAGUCACACACAUUAUGGAGAUUUAUUUAUUU